UACGUAGGUGGCAAGCGUUGUCCGGAUUUACUGGGCGUAAAGAGCGCGCAGGCGGCCAAGUCAGUCGAAUGUGAAAGCCCCCGGCUUAACUGGGGAGGGUCAUUCGAUACUGCUCGGCUCGAAGACAGGAGAGGGAAGUGGAAUUCCCGGUGUAGUGGUGAAAUGCGUAGAGACCCGGAGGAACACCAGUGGCGAAGGCGGCUUCCUGGUCUGCGACUGACGCUGUGGCGCGAAAGCUAGGGGAGCAAACGGG
rnacentral:rRNA from 1 species